AAACAUAAAAAUAUAAAAAUAUUAGAUACAGAACGGAACGGUUUUAGAAGAAUGAUUUUUUUUGAUUUUUUUGAUUUUUUUGAUUU
rnacentral:ribozyme from 12 species